UACCGCCGUCGUCAGCUUACCCUGUGAAGGGCUAAUAGUAAGCAGAAUUGGCACAGCCCAAAACGUCAGGUCGAGGUGUAGCGUACGAGAGGGGAAGAAAUGGGCUACAUUUACUGCCUGCAGUAAAUACGAAUGUUGCACUGAAAUGAGCAUCUGAAGGAGGAUUUAGCAGUAAGAGGGGAAUAGAGCGCCCCACUGAAAAUGGCCCUGAAGCGCGCACACACCGCCCGUCACUCUCCCCAACCAGCGCAGUAAAUAAAUAAGCCGAUUAAGCCCAUCUACAAGGGGAGGCAAGUCGUAACAUGGUAAGUGUACCGGAAGGUGCACUUGGAAAAACC
rnacentral:rRNA from 1 species